rnacentral:rRNA from 1 species
UAGGGAAUAUUAGUAAUGGGCGAAAGCCUGAACUAGCAACGCCGCGUGUGCGAAGAAGGCCUUCGGGUUGUAAAGCACUUUUUGAGAGGAUGAGGAAGCACGGUACUCUCAGAAUAAGUCUCGGCUCACUACGUGCCAGCAACCGCGGUAACACGUAGGAGGCAAACGUUAUCCGGAUUUACUGGGCGUAAAGCGCGUGUAGGUGGUUUGGUAAGUAGGGCGUGAAAGCUCCUGGCUCAACUGGGAGAGGCCGUUCUAAACUGCCGAACUAGAGGAUGGUAGAGGGAGGUGGAAUUCCGGGUGUAGCGGUGGAAUGCGCAGAUAUCCGGAGGAACACCAGUGGCGAAAGCGGCCUCCUGGACCAUUCCUGACACUCAGACGCGAAAGCUAGGGUAGCAAACGG